rnacentral:miRNA from 1 species
AAAUCAAGCAUGGGUGAGA